rnacentral:lncRNA from 1 species
AAAUCAGGCGAUUCGGUAUCGAUAUCACAUUCAGAUCGAUACAAUCGAAUUGAACGUAGUAGCUCGGAGUUUUAUGUCAUCGGGAGAACAAUAACAUAACCGAAAUUAAAUUAAAUGGGUUUAUGGUAAUGGUAGUUGUGACAUAAAUAAAUGGAAGAACUAACAUUAUUUAAAUUAGUUGCAACACAUUAGAUUAUGCAUUUUAGGUAAAAAUGUAUUGCCUAAAUAAAAGCAGUGGAAUUUCUUCCAACAGCAUUUUAGAUUGGGGUAGAAUGAAAACACUAAGUAGAUUUGUGUACUAAGUACUAAUAACUGAAGAAAGGAAAAAUGCAAGUGCAUAUUUGAUGAUAACAUACUUUAAAAAGUCUACCAAGUACACUUUUAUGACAAGAAGAAUCCAUAAUAUUAAUUUUAGGGCUCUUAUUGUACAUUGUAGUCCAAUUAUUAGAUCGGAUUUGUAUACCUAGUUUCUUCCAUUCACCAUUUUAGUAACUGUUUUGGAAAACAUGAAUUUAAC